rnacentral:rRNA from 1 species
UACGGAGGGGGCUAGCGUUGUUCGGAAUUACUGGGCGUAAAGAGCGCGCAGGCGGUCGGAUAAGUCGAAUGUGAAAGCCCCCGGCUCAACUGGGGAGGGUCAUUCGAUACUGUUCGACUCGAAGGCAGGAGAGGGAAGUGGAAUUCCCGGUGUAGUGGUGAAAUGCGUAGAUAUCGGGAGGAACACCAGUGGCGAAGGCGACUUCCUGGCCUGUUCUUGACGCUGAGGCGCGAAAGCUAGGGGAGCAAACGGG